rnacentral:lncRNA from 1 species
UGAACCACUGAAGUGCCUGGCGACCGCUGUCCAGGAGCCUCCUGCUCCUUCUCUCUAAGCACUUCCGCCUCUUUCCCUUCAAUCGGGUUCGUAUGGGCUUCAUACGGUGCAAGAAUCCGAACCACCUCCCCCUCUGUUUCACGUACAGGCCCUUUUAAAGGGUUAAAAACUUGAUUAGAGAAGGAUUAGGAGUCCUAAACAAAGCCAGAUAACCACUGGACCGUCGGAUCAAGAUCGGGAGCCACCCAUGCCCUC